UACGUAGGGAGCGAGCGUUGUCCGGAUUCAUUGGGCGUAAAGAGCUCGUAGGCGGCUCGGUAAGUCGGGUGUGAAAACUCGGGGCUCAACCCCGAGACGCCACUCGAUACUGCCAUGGCUUGAGUCCGGUAGGGGAGUGUGGAAUUCCUGGUGUAGCGGUGAAAUGCGCAGAUAUCAGGAGGAACACCGAUGGCGAAGGCAGCACUCUGGGCCGGUACUGACGCUGAGGAGCGAAAGCGUGGGGAGCAAACAGG
rnacentral:rRNA from 1 species